UUCUUCAGACGUAUUUCAGUUCUCCAUUUUUCUUCUUCUUAUGCUUUCCGUUUUGCAAAUCAAUGUGGAAUUUGUAGAUUUCUGUUAGGUUUUGGGGCUAUAAACACUGCAUUGAACAGAUGUUGAUUGUGUUCAUCUCAUAGCUUUUGCUUUCCCUAUUUUCUUUAUCAUGAAGUCCUGCAAGUGUGAAUGCUUAGAAGAUACUUUCUAUGCUCUAAAGCUGAGUUAUUUAUUUAUUUUGAAUAGAAAAAAUCUGAGAAUUUUGAGGCUGUAAGAUGUUCAUUUUCCAGUUGCUUUUUAUGUUCUCUGGGAUUUUAUUUUUUUUUUCCUUCUUGUUUCGCUCCGCCAGUUGCUUUCUUCCGGGAAGCAGCCUGCCCGUCUUAAUCAAGUCCACAAGGUCAUUUUCCUUCCAAGGGUGACUUAUCGCCUGCAGCUGGCCGUAGUUGAUCGGUUCUCUUUCUUAAGAUGCAGCUCUUUUAGCAAAUGCCGCUCAUUUUAUUUUAUUUUUAGUAUAUUCAUUUCUUGGGAGUUUUGAGUUUAGUUUGACCCAUUACCAUUUGCUUUGGUUUUUCAGCUCCUCUUUCUGAUCAGUACCCAGUACAACGUAUUGUGUUUUUAAUCUCUCCAUCUUCCUCCCUCUCUCUCUCUCUCUCUCUCUCUCUCUCUCUCUCUCUCUCUCUCUCUCACUCUCUCUCUCUCUCUCUUUGUUUUUGUUUUUUUACUUCCCUUUCCUGCUAUGUUUUGUCCUCAUAUUUCUAAUUUGUGGGUAUAUUUUCUUCAUGUUUUUUGGGUGUAUUGGAAAGCUAGAGAAAGUUCACCAACACUUUGAAGCAGAUUUUGAGUCAUUUCACUACCAUGGCUGGACAAAGAAACAACUAUGGUAAACGAUCCUUGUCAGUAAGAUUUGUGCUGAAAACGGAGGAAGAGAAGAAACCCUGGCAAUGAGAGAGAUUGGCAUGCUCCUGGGUCGGAUGAUACUGUCUAUAGUUAUUUAUGUCCCAGGAGAAAGGUAGCAUCAUUGGGAUGGGCGGGAAGAUUGUCACGCAACCAAGACAAGAAAGUCAAUCCAAGAUCAGGAUUAAUGAGAGUGUACUGGGCUGCAAGGAGCUUGUUGUAAUCAUCUUUAGUUCAAGGUGACAAACAAAUGCCUUUGAAGAUACUGGCUAUUUUAUUUGCUCAGCACAAUUUGCUCUAUUUAGGAUACAUGAGAGGUUUGUAGCAGAUGAGGCACGAGGUCAUGAAGAUCUGAUGUUGGUUCUCAUCAAACCACUGCUCUUCGGCUUGUACCAUUGGAUCAGAUUAGAUGUGUGAUUUGGAAAGGUGGACAGAUAAUUCAAAGUAUAUGCAGUGAGACUGGUGUUCAGAUUAUGAAGAAAUGAACAUGGCCUCCAUUUUCCAAGGGCAAUGAUGAGCUUCUCCAAGUUCCGUAAUUCAUCCCUUGUUGUGAGAUAUGAUUUAUUUCCUUGCAUGUCAAACAAUCAUACUGGUUACAUUGGCACCUCUAACAAGAUAAAAUCUUCAUUGUUUAUUUAUUUAUUUCUUCCUUUUGUUUUGUUAUGAUUUAUACUCCAUAUGUACAAACUGAUUAUCAAUUGUUAUACUCUGCCAGAGUAUCCAUGUAUUUCUUCAUAAUUAAUUAAGUCCGAUGUACACAGUACAUUAGCAGGCCUC